GCCCUUGCUUUUUUGCUCCGGACCCCCAAAUAUCAACCCGUCCUUCGGGACUAUGGACAUAAACGCGCUCGUAAUAAGCGGAUCGGACCCGGGGGCGGUACCCGGCGGCUCCACCAAACACCCUCGUUGGGGGAUCAUGGGGCCGAAAUAGGAUCGACGAACGUCUAAAGGGGUUAGCUUUGUCUCGGCGGGGUGCCACCGUAUCGGCCCGCAUAGUACAAUUGCCAACGACAAUCGUGCUCCGGUCGCUCUCGCCGCUUAAGCGGUGCGAUAGAUCGAAAACUUAAGCCCUGACGCCUAGCCGCAUCAGGCGGGGUCCGCAGGAACCUGGCAACAGAAUCCUGCACU
rnacentral:tmRNA from 1 species